rnacentral:rRNA from 1 species
AGUAUUUUGACUAUACAAAGGUAUUGAAAUAAGACUUUAAUUGAGUGCUAAGAGAAUGGAAUUUCAUAAAAUUUCUUUUUUAAUUUUAAAAAUUGAAAUUAAUUUUAUAUGUGAAGAAACAAUAAUAAAAAUUAAGGACAAGAAGACCCUAAGAAUUUUAAAAAUUUCAAUAAAAUGCUGUAUUUUAUUGAAAUUUUUUAAUUGGGGCGAUUAUUAAAUAUUAAAAACUUUAAUUUUUUUAAAAAAGAACCAAUAAUAUUGGUUAUUUGAAAAAUACUCUAGGGAUAACAGCGUAAUAAUUUUUGAUAGUUCUUAUAGACAAAAUAGUUUGCGACCUCGAUGUUGGAUUAGGAUUCUUUUUUAAUGAAGAAGUUAAAAAAAGAAGUUUGUUCAACUUUUAAAAUCCU